rnacentral:lncRNA from 1 species
GUCCAUGGGAAACCCUUGCAAAAUCAUUUUAUUGACCAUCUUAGAAAGCCUCUUUGUAUUGCUUGCAUACUGAUUGUCUAGUCCUGUGCUUUGAGGGCAGCUUCAAUUCAAUUUUGCCAAGGAGAUACAUUCGCAUUUUGCUGACAGUGAUUAUUAGUUAUUGCAGUUCUUCACUGAGCAAGAUGGAUUUCAUAGGGGUUGGACAGCCCUCCCCAAGCUCAGUCUCAGGCCAUGAUGGUACUUCUUCGUCUUAAAAAAAGAAAAUCCUUAUCUUAUGUGAGGAGUUACAAUUGUUGCAGUGGACCAGAGGAAUAGUGGUAUUUAUUUAAUUACCUUCACAAUAUCAACUACAGUUGGAAGUAGGAUUCUGAAUGAUAUAAGAUGAAGCCAAGAACAUGAUCUUCUCUUCAUGGAAAAUUCGAAUCUUUCCGACUCUGAAUGCAUGAAGAUCAGUAAGACAUCAACACUUUGACAAAUGUCUAUUCCAUGGAAGUCUUCAAAUGGAGCUUCAGUUUCAGGACAUUUUUUUUGAUCUGGAAGUAUAAGACACGCUGCCUGAUUCCAUGCACGAAAUGCCAUGAUAGCGAAAGAAGGGUAGGGAGUCAUGAAUAAACACCCAAUUAUAUCACUUCAUUCAUACAAGCCAAGAUGCAGUACCGAAAAUUCUGGUGAAUUUCUUCAUCUAGCCGAGUUCUACAAGCUGACUUCAGGAGGCACUUUGACGACUCUAGCACAGAUGUGUGGGAAGCAAGCUGAACGUGCUGGAUUCACAACAGUUCUGCAUCAUCAGGGUAGCUCCAGGCAGGGGGAGCUUGCAGUGUGCUGCUGCAUAAAGCACUCAGCCCCAGUUCCCCUCCUUUGCUUCGUGUUUUCUGGUGUGAGUUCACACACAUCCCCAGCUCUUCCCUCUGAUUAA